rnacentral:rRNA from 1 species
CUACGUGCCAGCAGCCGCGGUAAUACGGAGGGUGCGAGCGUUAAUCGGAAUAACUGGGCGUAAAGGGCACGCAGGCGGUGACUUAAGUGAGGUGUGAAAGCCCCGGGCUUAACCUGGGAAUUGCAUUUCAUACUGGGUCGCUAGAGUACUUUAGGGAGGGGUAGAAUUCCACGUGUAGCGGUGAAAUGCGUAGAGAUGUGGAGGAAUACCGAAGGCGAAGGCAGCCCCUUGGGAAUGUACUGACGCUCAUGUGCGAAAGCGUGGGGAGCAAACAGGAUUAGAUACCCUGGUAGUCCACGCUGUAAACGAUGUCGAUUUGGGGGUUGAACUUUGAGCUUGGCGCCCGUAGCUAACGUGAUAAAUCGACCGCCUGGGGAGUACGGCCGCAAGGUUAAAACUCAAAUGAAUUGACGGGGGCCCGCACAAGCGGUGGAGCAUGUGGUUUAAUUCGAUGCAACGCGAAGAACCUUACCUACUCUUGACAUCCAGAGAACAUUC